UCAGGGUGUCAACGCCAUCGAGGCUGACGUCUCAUUUGCCCCGAACGGAACGGUGACGGACUUCUACCACGGUCCCGGCUGCGACAGUGGACGCGAGUGCGAAAGGCGAACCGACGCAGGCGUCUACUUCAACCAUGUCAAGCGCACUGUUAGCGCAGAAAACGGACGAAAUCGGGACAAAAUGCUACUGCUAUACGUUGACAUUAAACCGGGAAACCUGGCCGGAAAGAAGGAAAUGUAUGCAGGCGGCGUCAGCCUGGCACAGAAACUCAUGCUUCACCUUUGGAAUGAAGUUCCACCCAAUCGCAUGGUAAACGUUCUGCUGUCUGUCUACAGUUUAAAGGAAACGGAAGUUUUCAGGGGUGCGCUGCGUACGCUGUCUACGGCUGAAAACCACGC